UAGAAGGUGUGAGAAACAAAGCCCACUCCUCACUUAAAAUUUAAAGAAAAUUUAAUGGGAGACAGUAGGGGACAAAGUCAAUAAAGCAAAAGUAACAGUGGUGGGUGCCUGGCUUGGGUACUUAGCCACAGCCAGAGGCACAUCAGUCAACACAGAAACACCCCUUAUAUGCCCUGGGUAUGGCAUCAGCCUAAUACAAAUUUAUAAACAGUUAUAUGAAUUCAAACAUUUUAAUAGUUCCUCCUCUGUCCUGUCUUUUUGGAGUAUGUGCAGUUGUCCUAGUGGUGGUCAUUUGUUACUUUUCAAAAUUGAAAAGCUUUCCAUUCUUUCAUUGAUUAAAUGUUAAUAUUACAACAACUCUUCAGCAACAUUGGUAUCACAACACAACAUUCACAAUUAAAAGAACUCUGAACUUUAGCAAAGCUUCUUUUACAAAAGUCAACAUUAUAAAACACCUAGUAUUUACUCUAACAAUUGCGACUGCCAACACUGUAAUAUUCAUCGCGAAGGUGCUGUGGUCUGAUGGUUUCUUCUAGAUAGAGAACCUGUCCUCUCAGCCUGUCUGUCCCCUGAGCCAUCAAACAAUGAUGCGUUCCCUUCCUCUUCUCCCAUUCCUGCAGGGCUCCAUUGCACCUGGUGAGAAGCAAGUGCUGAAAUUCUCUUACAUGCCAGGAUUACCAGGAGCCUUCAGCAGGAUUUACCAACUUAAAGUGGGUGACCUGGAGCCGGAAAAGAUCUGUCUGAAAGGAGAAGCGUCCUUUCCCAUGAUCAGUGUCAACCUGCCCUGGAACAUCAAAGGCGAUGAAAAAUAUGAGAAGCCACUGCAACAGCUUGUAAAACACAUGAAACAAGAUAGUGAGAGCAAUAAAUCAGUUGUUGGGAAGAAGAAUCAGAGCCCAAAGACUGAGACUUUGAAGUCUCAGACCCCAACGACUCAGACCACAAAAAUUCAGACAUCAAAGCCUCCGACUGUGAAAAUUCAGACCCCAAAGACUCAGACCUUGAAGACUUGGAAGCCAAAGACUAGGAACCUGAAGUUACUUCUGCCUGGCUCUGGCAUUGUAGUAAGAGCAGAUGCAGCCCCAUUUGGCACAUGCCACCUUUUCCAUGUCACCUGAGCCCUUUGCAGCCCACAGCAGCUUCCCAGUGCCCUGAUGGCACUUGGGACCUCCCUGCCCACUUAGAACCAUGUGUCACCUCAGCAUUGUCCCUAGGGCUGCCAUUCUGGUCAUGGUCUCUUCUGGGGUAGUUUCCUGGCUACCUCAGGG
rnacentral:lncRNA from 1 species